AUUGAACGCUGGCGGCAGGCCUAACACAUGCAAGUCGAGCGGAUGAAGGGAGCUUGCUCCUGGAUUCAGCGGCGGACGGGUGUGUAAUGCCUAGGAAUCUGCCUGGUAGUGGGGGAUAACGUCCGGAAACGGGCGCUAAUACCGCAUACGUCCUGAGGGAGAAAGUGGGGGAUCUUCGGACCCCACGCUAUCAGAUGAGCCUAGGUCGGAUUAGCUAGUUGGUGGGGUAAGGGCCUACCAAGGCGACGAUCCGUAACUGGUCUGAGAGGAUGAUCAGUCAAACUGGAACUGAGACACGGUCCAGACUCCUACGGGAGGCAGCAGUGGGGAAUAUUGGACAAUGGGCGAAAGCCUGAUCCAGCCAUGCCGCGUGUGUGAAGAAGGUCUUCGGAUUGUAAAGCACUUUAAGUUGGGAGGAAUGGCAGUAAGUUAAUACCUUGCUGUUUUGACGUUACCAACAGAAUAAGCACCGGCUAACUUCGUG
rnacentral:rRNA from 1 species